GCCUAUGUUCAGCAGUGGACGUCCUACGGCUGAAAUGAUGAUGAUGAUGAUGAUAAAAUGUUGCUUUAUUUAAAUUCCUACGCUAAAAAUUAUCCAUUUGUAUUUAAUGCCACUAUGCAGUCCUAGUUUAACUAUUACGAGAAAAACUCAUUUUUGCAGUUUUCAUACUAGUUGCUAUUCAAGUAGCCAUAAGAUAAAAAUAAUACAGAAUACAUAGGCUUGUGAUACCUUUUUAGAAUCUCAAUUAACCAAAGAAGUUUUUAAGGUAAUGGGCACGAUGGUCUUCCUACAUUUUUUUUACACGAUGGCUGAUCGAAAGUGCAAGACAAUGAAUUAAUUUUUCCUUCUCUUCUGCAAUUUCUUAAAAUUUUCAUACUUUCAAACUAGUUUGUUGAACUUUGAUCUUUUCUUUUGAUAGCCCAACUAUCCCUUGUGAUAAGGAAAAAAACUAGAUUGAAAAGUAUCCUCACUUGUAGAAAUGGCAUGAGAAAAAGUAAUUGCAGAUGGCAAUUUUCUAAAAAUGCACAAAAACUUAAAAAUCUUGAAAACGGUGAUAUUUUUACUGGGGUCAAAAAUGGACGUUAGGGAGAUCAUGGCGAGGCCUAUCGAUGGUUACAGGGUUAUCCAUUGUUUUUGGGACACCCUGUAUAAGUAAAUAUUGUUCUGUGUAUAACAUUAAAUUUUAACUUCCCCCUUCCCAAUAACUUUGUUUGUGAUGUACGUGUACGUUUGCAAUGUGUUGUUUUGUUUUAGGUGGCGAGUUUUAUGUUAAAGAAUCUAAACAAUUAAGUUCUCGAGAUACCCACAUAUUAAGUAAAUACCGGCCAAUAACCAAAAGUCACGUGUAUCUCUCUAACUACUUGACAUUGGCAGAAUCACUGCGUGGCGCUCUGCGCGCUUCAGCGGGACAGUCCAUCCCAAAAAAAAAAAUAUAGACCUAUAGGAUUACCGUGAUACAAUAGUUCAUGUAGUUUUAUACAGCCAACUUUUGGUCGGUACCUACUACAGACGAUAUUGAAGAAUGCUAAUGCUUUCAUAACUUUCUUUUAAAUUAGGCUGCGGAAGAAUCCGAUAGCUUUAUACAGUCAUCUCGCGCAAAAUUCUCGCAUAACCGGUUCGUUUCUAUAGUUAAGGAAAAAAUGUACCUUUUAAGUAUUUUGACCUUAUAAAGGUUGCAGGAAGACCGGUCUGCCUGGUGGAUUUUAACCAGCUGAUUGAGAAAUAAUUUAAAUCAUUGGGAGUGAGGAGAGAAGCCUAUGUUCAACAGCGAACAUCCUAUGGUUGAAAAAUAAUGAUGAUGAUGAUAAAGUGAUCACUGAGCCGUAUGUUAUAAGGUGCUUGUAUGAAGCUUUCAUGCGUUGCCCGUUGUCCUACAAUAGUUCUGUGGGUAUAAUGAUUUUAUAUAGGUAGUAUAGGUACCAACGAAAACUAAUUAAUUACCCGUGAUACGACGAUACUGCUAGUAAAGCAGUAUCAUCAAGUUUAGUUUCAUUAUUCAAGUUCAGUGGUUUUCAACCUUUUUCAUGACACGACCCUAGUAUGAAAAAAUAUUUGGCGACCCCCCCGACCGUUCGCUUUUUUUUCAUACAUUUUAUAAUGUUACAAAGAUACAACAUCAUGUCUUUAUUGGCUCUGUGCACGAUUACAGCGCCAACUAGCGUCCACAACUUUGUGGGCUCUGUCACAUUGACGUUUAGGUCGUAUAUUUGUGAAAAAAUAUCAAAAUGAAAAAAUAACAAAUAUUUUCAACUAAUAAAUUGUUGUGAUACCACGAUUUGUGUGGAAAAAAGGUUUUGAAAUCAUUUUGGUCAUUCAAAUCAAAUGAGAUUGAAAUGAGUAUUGUUUUGAAGACCGGGUUUGUGAGUUUUACAAUAUCAAAUUCCAACCACAAACCGUAUUUUAAGGAAAUUUGUUGGUAUAGCCAAUACAAGUCCGAGAUGUAGAAGAAUUAAGAACAAAGUAAGGGCAGAGUUAAAUAAUUCACGCUCUCAUCAUAAGGCAAACAUCUGUGCACAACAACUACUGUGACUCAUUUUUGUACUACCACGUUGUAUAGUCUAGUUGUUUCCAAAUUGUAAACGGCUAUUAAACCAGCCCUAUCGAAAUACA